CAGGAAAGCGGAACCUCCACUCCAACAGGCUCGCCCAGGGUUCGUUCCCCACCCUGCUGUGAGGAUUAUGCUGGUAGGCACAGCCCACUUAAACCAGCAGAGAAGAUACCUUCCUCUCUUAAAAAAGGUGGUCGUGAUAGUGGAAUGGAUAACAGAAAAAACAAUAGGAAUAUUUCUGGGGAGUUAAUAGGGAUAAUGAAUGCUAAUCACCAUUCGCUCUGAAUGUGUUGAAUUUUAAAAAAAAUGUAAUUUUCUUUUUUGUUAACAACUCAAUGGUGUGAAAGUGGGUAGAACCAGAGCUUCUGAAUGUAGAAAAAAUGUUGUAACAGUACCAACUAUACAUUUUAUGUUGUCUCCACACUUACUGUCAAAUUCUGAUGCAGAAAACAUGUGCUAUGGAUUUUCUUAUGUAUAAUGUAUCUGUUAUGUCAUAUAUCAAUUUCACAUUGAUCAAGAAUAAAAUGACUUAAUUCAAUAUGAUUUUUAAAAAUCAAUGAUUUAUUAUGUCUAUAAAUAUGCAUAGGAGAGAUUAUGGGAGUUGGGCACUGUGAACAGUGGUGGCUUACUUCAUUUGAAUUUCAUGAAUGAAUACCAACAGCAAUGUCUGUGAAAGUCAUUUGUCUAUUCACAAAUAUGGGACAACCACUAUUUGCUAUGUUUUAUAAUUUUUCUUUAGCACAGCGCAGUUUAUUAUCAUAUAUUAGUUCAUUUUUAAAGAUUGUUAUUUAUAGUUGAACUUUUAAAAUAGAAAAUAUUCUUUGUUUUCUGUAUGAAAAUUAAAAUUCAGAAAAGUUACACUGUCUUGUAGUUGACCCUAAGGCCAUGUCUCUUUACUACCCUGGGCUAGAGGGUCCUGGGGGUGGGGAGAUAACAUUUGUUCAUUC